CGCUCGUUAUAAUAUUUGUUUACAAUAAUUUCCGUAUGUACUUUACUUUAAUUACAACUGCCGACGUGAAUGCCGAAGGGUGCCGAAGUAAUUGCCGAAGGAAUUUAAGGUGAUUUCAUUGCGUGCCCCGGCAAAAAAUAUUGCCGAGGCAUUGCCGAGGCAAACUCGAAAAUUAUCGAAAGACUUCGGCAAUUAUUUGCCGAGGCAAAAAUAGUUGAAUUUCGAGGGUUGACUUUAAACAAUGAAUCUAUCGUAUCCAAACCUUUGCAUAUCCAGUCAAUAGCUUCAUGACCUCCAGUAUUCUUCAGUGUAAACAGUGCUCUAAACUUAUCAGCUAAAGUGCUAA